GUUUUACUAUGUGUGGAUCUCUCAAUUUUUUUUCUGAUUGAGGUAGCUUGCUAAAUACUGUUUAUUGUGUAUAAUCCUAAUAUAAAAAACAAACAUUUGUGAAAUUAUGGUCAUAUGUAGGAGAUUAGCAUCAAAAUUAUUUAAAAUGCUAUUCUGCACUUGGGAUAAGGACAUAUUGCUUACAAAAUGUACUAGAAUACUUCUCCUAAACUCACUACUUUUUUUUAGUGUUUUAUUAUGUUUGUUUACAUUGUAUAAACAGCAGUUUAAAUCCAAAGGUGGGGGAUUGCUCUCUAAUGCAAUAAUGACCUUUGGAUAUUUCUGAUCAAUUCUGUCCAAUGUCAUUGAUCUAAUGUUUUUUAUUACUCUGAAACAAUGAUUUCAGUAAUUAUUGUAUGCUGUCGAACUUCCAUUCCAUUAAUCAUAAUGAAAUUGUCAUGUUUUAUUAUUUUGUAUUCAUGUCUUAAACUUGCUAUUUGAAUAACAAUUAUUAAUAUUUGACAUGAAAUGAUAUGGUUUAUUUUUGAUCAACACAAUAUUUGUUUUAGCCUUCUAAUUAGAUAAUGAAAAAGUUUUUUGGAGAUAGAUUUUGAAAUUUACAAGGUUUGGCAAUUAAGUUU
rnacentral:lncRNA from 1 species